AUUCCAAUCUACAUGGCCAAAGAGGAAGUUGUUAAUUAUACCCCGCGUAUUUCCCUGUUUCAUGACGUCAUAUCAAACGAUGAUAUACGGCAAUUAAAGAAAGCAGGCACUAAGAAGCUAACUCAUUCAAGAACCGGAGGCGGUUAUGUUACUAGACUUAGAGUCAGUCAGACAGGCUGGGUGUAUGAUCAAGCUAUUCCACAAGUGUCCAGGCGCCUCGCUCGCCGGAUUGCUAACAUUGUGAACUUAGACACAACCUUUAGAUCCAAGGCGUCUCCAGUAGAGCCAUGGCAGGUAAGAUUGGAGAACAUUGAUCCACCGUCAGGGAUACUGUACGUUACUGAUCGUCCUCCUCGUAUUUAUACAAACAGUUAAAAAUAAGUAUAUUGUGUAAGCUGCAGAAAUGUAGCUCUACGCGAAUUUUGGGUUGACGGACCGUGAAGCUAUGUACAGUUUCAUUCAAAAGACUAUGCAGUAUUUAUUGGACACAACGGUCCGUCGACCCAUACUUCCCGCUGAGCUAUAGUCCUGCAAAUAUAUAUUGUAUAUAUUGUAUGUGAUGUGAAUAGCUGAUUUGCAUUGUUAUUGAAUCUUUAGAGAGAGAGAGAGAGAAGGGCAUAAUCAGAAUCAACACUUGGUUUGUAACGACAUAUGAACUCUUGGGUGGUGGUAUUCAAAUGUCAUAAGUGUUGUUUUGAGAAAUAUUUUUUUCCUCGACAAACUCCCAAAAUGUCCAAUGGAAUGAACGGCACAAGUAACGUUAUAAUAUUUCCCUAAAGACGUAUAGCACAAAACAAACAAAACAAACAUUAAUUUUAAGAUGUUUGAAAGUAUUGUUUUGUUUAAAUAUUUUUUGUCUGUUGCUUGCCAGGUUUUGAGCUACACGACUGGUGGAUAUUACGGCGAACAUAUUGAUCCCGACAUUGGUGAUGAGUUUUUAUGGAACAUGACAGAGGCGGUUCAGGGCCCUCGGGCUUUGUGGAGAAAACACACUGGGCAAAGAAUUGCUACCUGGAUGUUUUAUCUUAGUGACGUAGAAGCAGGAGGAGCAACUGUGUUUCCAAAAUUAGAAGCUCGCGUUCCAGUGGUCAAGGGAGCAGCAGCUUUUUGGUACAACUUGACGCCGAGCGGAAAGAUAGACCGGAGAACCCAACACGCAGGCUGUCCCGUCAUCCUCGGCUCAAAAUGGGUGUGUAAUAAAUGGAUUCACGAAGUUAGUCAGGAAUUCAAGCGACCUUGCGGGAAAACUGUCGCUUCAGAAGAUUUUUAUGAAGAUGAAUAUAUGCCACCUUAUUAAUUCAUGUGACAGUAUAUAAUUUUGUGCAUUUGGUGUGUGUCAGAAACCAAUAAUUCUGGUAUCUGAGAUAUACGUAUUAUAUAAAUUAUGUGUUUAUAGUUAUUAUUAAAUUAUUUACAAC
rnacentral:misc_RNA from 1 species